UACGGAGGGUGCAAGCGUUGUUCGGAAUUACUGGGCGUAAAGCGCGCGUAGGCGGCUUUUUAAGUCAGAUGUGAAAGUCCACGGCUCAACCGUGGAAGUGCAUUUGUUACUGGGAAGCUUGAGUACUGGAGGGGAUGGUGGAAUUCCCGGUGUAGAGGUGAAAUUCGUAGAUAUCGGGAGGAAUACCGGUGGCGAAGGCGACCCUCUGGCCAGAUACUGACGCUGAGGUGCGAAAGCGUGGGGAGCAAACAGG
rnacentral:rRNA from 1 species